UCUUCCAAGAUUGUUGAAAUU
rnacentral:piRNA from 1 species